AUGGAUGCAUCUAGAUGUAUUUUAGUUCUAGAUACAUCCAUAUCCGAGACAAGUAGGGAGUACGUACCAAUGAAAACCAAUCAGCCAAACAAGCACCACGGCAAAACAUGCAAGCUAAUGAUCCAAGGAAGAGAACGGGAGAUCCAAAACUAUGUGCCAUUCAACACACCAGUGAAUGAUAAAAUGGGGUAUACCUUAAUUUGCACAUACAGCUACAUUCGCCUGCACCCUGGAACCGUGAAACGAGCAGGCGAAAACCCAAAUACAACAAAAUUAUUUGCUUGCGGCUGCCGUCUAAUUCAAAAGGACAAAACAAGCUUAUUAAGUAUGCUCCGCUUCUCACACGUUACAGAAAAAUGCACUGCUUUCAAGUUUCGCUGCUCCUCGGAUCUAGCUAGGGUAGAGGCAGUCCAAAUUUAUACUCCCAAGCAACAACUGGUGAGUGAAAUGGAAAAAGCAACUAAAAUCUCGUAUGCCGAUGAUUUAACUUCUUCAAGGGGGCGUAACAUAGAGUAG
rnacentral:rRNA from 1 species